AGGGGUAUGGCUCAGUGGUGGAGCUCCUGCUUAGCAUGCAGGAGGCCCUGGAUUCUAUUCCCAGCACAACAA
rnacentral:tRNA from 1 species